UCUUUCUUUUUAUUUCCUUCUUUCUUUCUUUUUUACAUUCCUUAUCUUUCUUUUUGUCUUUCUUUCAAAAUAGUUAUUUAUCGAGCUUUAUUGCGACUUUAGAUUAAAAAAAAAAUCUUUUUUUCUUCUAAUUUAUCUUUUGAAUUUUGAUAAUGAAAUCCUAAAUGAUCAUUACUGUAGCAAGUCUCCUGCAGAACUUCCGCACUGUACGGGCAAGCAUUUAAAGAAACCAACCGAAUUGAAUAUGAUCCAAUAAGUAGACUUUACCUCUAAAUGUGACAUUAAUUUUCUUGUUAAUAUGUAAAUGUUCUUUUCAUCCCUCUAUCUUAUAUUUUUCUUUUAUUUUUGUUAAAAUUGUUCCUACGCUGGAUCUUUUAAAACUCUUUCUGUACUUAACAUAAAAUAAGCAUAUUUGGUCUAACAAUAAGCUAAAAAUAAAAAUGACCAAUUGCAAGAUUAAAACUCCUAUCAUAAAAAUAAACGACAAAGAGGGUAAAUUUGAUUCAAUUCGAAAUCAACUCAAAUUUGAGAUACGUAUUGAAAAAUGUGCUUCAGUGCCAAAAUUGCACAUAUUUUAAACUAAAAGGCGCAGUAAAAUCAAAUUACUUCCAAAUGACUUCAGUUUUGUUCGUCACGUAUGUUUCUUAUGGGAGAUUUGAAAGAAGAAGCAGUUGAAUGGAGACAGUUUAUGACGCACAAUGUUGUGGAUUCAGCGAUCAAACUCCCUGCAGCCUUGGUCAGUCCUCUGAACUUUACCACUAUGUGUAAACAAGUUGUCAGAAAAUAAUCUUCUCUUUCGCCCCCCUUUUUUUCCCCUCUUUUUUUUUUUAUUGGAAUGAAAAUUCAAUCUUCCAAGAUCAGAUUAGAGUAUACUUUUUGGUUUUUUUUUUUCUACUUCUUCUUCUCCUCUCUCCCGGUUCCUUGUCAUCGCUGGGGCUGGACUUUGGUGGACAAUAAUGCGGCAAUUGUCGAUGCUUUGUGACCCAUAAAAUUUGAGGGUGGCUAUUCUGGCUUUGCGAGGGGAGGCACCGUGCAAGCAAAAGCCCCUGCAACUCUGAGCAGAUCGGCGGAAAAAAGCAGCUACAAUCAAAAAGAAACGUGCCUGUAAGAACAGGUGCCAUUACGCAGGUAAUUUUGUUAUGAUGUAUGAUGGAGUGUAUUUAAAUCUACCCGCUGUUUGCCCAGAUCAUGCAUUGAGACAUAUUUGCAGAAUAAUUUUAGAUGUUGUCCCUUCAAUAAACAAUAUUUUGUGUAAGGCUUCAGAGUUUGUUUGUUUUUUUUAAUGUAAGAAGAAUUUUGAUUUGCCAAAUUUAUUUAUUUAUGUAUUUUUUAAGGUAAAAGAGGCUGUUUCAGCAAAUUCGAAAGAAAAUAAAUGAAUUGACCUCUUUCGGAUUUUCGUGUAAUCAGACAAUUUGUAAAAGUAUGAACACGUAUUUCACUAAAACGUUGUUUUAUUUCGUAAACAUGCAAAAAAAAUUAAAUAAAUAAAUAAUGAAUAAAUCUGCAUAUGUGUCCUAUUUGCUGUUGUUUUUCGUGAUGAUUAAUAAAAUGCAAUACAUGUCUUGCUUUUGAGGUGUACAAUACAUUGGAUUUUUAUUUUUCUUUACCUUUCUGUGUGCGCGCGCGCGCGUGUGUGUGUGUGUGUGUGUGUGUGUGUGUGUGUGUGUGUGUAUGUGUAUGCGUGUAUGCACAUAAUAAACACUUGUGCUGCCUGACAGAGGUGCGAAUCUGAGAGCUUUUCCACCAAAUGAAGUGCCAGCAGAAAGAGAAAUAAAGAGAUCUGCAGCUGUCAGGGGUCAGGCAGGGAGAGAUUGCUUCUAGAGAUCUUUUGAAAAAAAUCACACGUUUGAAGGCUUAGAGCUUUGCUGUCUCCGCAUUUCAAGCUCAGAUCAGUGGAAUCAGGGGAGAGAGAGAAAAAAAAAAAGGAAGAACAUGGGUUGGAGAAUUCUGAUGCUGGGAUGGACACGGGAAGAG